rnacentral:rRNA from 1 species
CAGAGGGUGCGAGCGUUGUCCGGAAUCACUGGGCGUAAAGGGCGCGUAGGCGGCCCGAUAAGUAGGGGGUGAAAUCUUGCGGCUUAACCGCAAGGCUGCCUUCUAAACUGUCGGGCUGGAGCACGGUAGAGGCAGAUGGAAUUCCCGGUGUAGCGGUGGAAUGCGUAGAGAUCGGGAAGAACACCAGUGGCGAAGGCGGUCUGCUGGGCCGUUGCUGACGCUGAGGCGCGACAGCGUGGGGAGCAAACAGGAUUAGAUACCCUGGUAGUCCACGCCGUAAACGAUGGGCACUAGGCGUCGGGGGGAGCGACCCUCCCGGUGCCGUCGCUAACGCAGUAAGUGCCCCGCCUGGGGAGUACGGCCGCAAGGCUG